AGUGAACGCUGGCGGUAGGCCUAACACAUGCAAGUCGAACGGCAGCACAGUAAGAGCUUGCUCUUACGGGUGGCGAGUGGCGGACGGGUGAGGAAUACAUCGGAAUCUACUUUUUCGUGGGGGAUAACGUAGGGAAACUUACGCUAAUACCGCAUACGACCUACGGGUGAAAGCAGGGGAUCUUCGGACCUUGCGCGAUUGAAUGAGCCGAUGUCGGAUUAGCUAGUUGGCGGGGUAAAGGCCCACCAAGGCGACGAUCCGUAGCUGGUCUGAGAGGAUGAUCGGCGACACUGGAGCUGAGACACGGUCCAGACUCCUACGGGAGGCAGCAGUGGGGAAUAUUGGACAAUGGGCGCAAGCCUGAUCCAGCCAUACCGCGUGGGUGAAGAAGGCCUUCGGGUUGUAAAGCCCUUUUGUUGGGAAAGAAAAGCAGCAGGUUAAUACCCCGCUGUUCUGACGGUACCCAAAGAAGAAGCACCGGCUAACUUCGUG
rnacentral:rRNA from 1 species